rnacentral:rRNA from 1 species
UACGUAGGGGGGCAAGCGUUGUCCGGAUUUAUUGGGCGUAAAGAGCGUGUAGGCGGCCAUACAGGUCAGCUGUGAAAACUCGAGGCUCAACCUCGAGACGUCGGUUGAAACCGUAUGGCUAGAGUCCGGAAGAGGAGAGUGGAAUUCCCGGUGUAGCGGUGAAAUGCGCAGAUAUCGGGAAGAACACCCCGUGGCGAAGGCGGCUCUCUGGGACGGUACUGACGCUGAGACGCGAAAGCGUGGGGAGCGAACAGG